rnacentral:rRNA from 1 species
UAGCGAAGGGGGCUAGCGUUGCUCGGAAUCACUGGGCGUAAAGCGCACGUAGGCGGAUUGUUAAGUCAGGGGUGAAAUCCUGGAGCUCAACUCCAGAACUGCCUUUGAUACUGGCGAUCUUGAGUCCGGGAGAGGUGAGUGGAACUGCGAGUGUAGAGGUGAAAUUCGUAGAUAUUCGCAAGAACACCAGUGGCGAAGGCGGCUCACUGGCCCGGUACUGACGCUGAGGUGCGAAAGCGUGGGGAGCAAACAGG